GCCUGGCUGGCUCAGUCAGUGGAGCGUGAGACUCUGUAUCUCAGGGUCGUGAGUUUGAAAGCCCCAUGUUGGGUG
rnacentral:tRNA from 1 species